GUAGAUGCUCAUUCCACCUAUUAUGUUUGCUCCGGCUUCAUAAACCUGGGAAUGAUGCAGAGCCAAUUUACAGUGCCUAUUGUCAUCCUGACCGAUAACGCUGAUGCGCUAUCAUCCAGAAGGCAAAACGUUGAGUGAGGCACUAAAUCUGUUGUCCUGGACCUGAUUGUUUUAUACACCUGCAUAACCGGCAGGUGUUUUUUU
rnacentral:sRNA from 1 species